AAGUCGUAACAAGGUCUCCGUAGGUGAACCUGCGGAGGGAUCAUUACCGAGAGAGGGCGCCUCGCGCGCCCGCCCUCCCAACCCUUUGCGAACCGUACCGCGUUGCCUCGGGGUGGCCCUAGCCGGGCGCCCCCGAGGACGUCUCACCAACCCUGCGUCCCUGCGUCGGAGUAUGAUAUUGAAUCAAUCAAACUUUCAACAACGGAUCUCUUGGUUCUGGCAUUGAUGAAGAACGCAGCGAAUGCGAUAAGUAAUGUGAAUGCAGAUUCAGUGAAUCAUCGAAUCUUUGAACGCACAUUGCGCCCCCUGCAUUCCGGGGGCAUGCCCGUUCGAGCGUCAUUACACCACUCAAGCCUGGCUUGGUAUUGGGCGGCGGGACCCCCCCGCGCCUCCAUGUGUCCGGCUGGACGGUCUGAAUCUCAGCGUUGUGCAAUCAAUCGCCUGCGGGACCGACGGACGCGCCGGUGAAAAUCGUCAUCACAGGUUGACUCGAUCGGUAGGGAUACCCGCUGAACUUAA
rnacentral:rRNA from 1 species